AUGGAGGUGAUCAACACGAUGCAAGGAGGAGGCUUCACAGUUUUAGGAGUGGCCACCAUUUAUGCUGAUAUUACCGUCGUCUCUCCAGGAUAUACUUCGGUUUCUUUCGUUCACUGCCCAAGGGAGACGAAAAUAGUCUCUAUUGAAUUAGCUAGGCUAGCGGUCUCGAUGCCACCGUCAACGUGGAUAGAGGAGCCGCAGUAUCGAUUGUUAGGUGGCUGA
rnacentral:rRNA from 1 species